AGUCAAUAGAUACCCUGGUAGUCCACGCCGUAAACGAUGAGUACUAGGUGUAGGAGGUAUCGACUCCUUCUGUGCCGCAGUUAACACAAUAAGUACUCCGCCUGGGAAGUACGGUCGCAAGAUUAAAACUCAAAGGAAUUGACGGGGGCCCGGCACAAGCAGCGGAGCAUGUGGUUUAAUUCGAAGCAACGCGAAGAACCUUACCUAGACUUGACAUCUCCUGAAUAGUGUAGAGAUACAUGAAGCCCUUCGGGGCAGGAAGACAGGUGGUGCAUGGUUGUCGUCAGCUCGUGUCGUGAGAUGUUGGGUUAAGUCCCGCAACGAGCGCAACCCUUAUUACUAGUUGCUACCAUUAAGUUGAGCACUCUAGUGAGACUGCCCGGGGUUAACCGGGAGGAAGGCGGGGAUGACGUCAAAUCAUCAUGCCCCUUA
rnacentral:rRNA from 1 species